rnacentral:misc_RNA from 1 species
CUCCCUUCUCCAUACCACAUUGGAAUGUGCGUCUAGUCACCACGCCCGACCUGCCAGGUGUUUGGGUGGCGAACUACGAGCUGGCGUGUGUAGUAGAAAGGCCGCGGGCUGCAACCGCGUGUCAUUCAUGAAUGAGUGCAGCCGCUGAUGCUGUCUACUAUGCAAGCGUCUGUGUAUUUUCUCGGCAGCUGGGAGCGGGGCAGCUACUUCUCGUCAAGUUGUUCAGUGAUUUUGUGUUGAACACCAGUGACAGUUUCAGUUUUGUAUUACCUCUUAACUGGAUCUAUCCCGGAUUCUAUCACUGCAGACACCUCAUCACUGUCGACCUCAACGUCGGGAGAAUCACUCUCUUAAACCGUUGCUCUAGAUUUAAGACACCACUGCAAACAGCCAGCUUUUAGGACUUUGUGGUCAGACUAUGUCAACAGUGCGGGGACACUCCCAUGUGUAAACCACGUGACCCUUAGCGCGCACCGACCAAGGAAGUUGUCGUUUAGCGUUCAGGAAAUCGACAAGACCAUUCCUAGAAAUAAAAAAUAUCCUUGGUAAA